UGGGGAAUAUUGGACAAUGGGGGCAACCCUGAUCCAGCGACGCCGCGUGUGUGAAGAAGGCCUGCGGGUUGUAAAGCACUUUUAGUGGGGAGGAAAACACCUGUCCUAAUACGGCAGGGAUUGACUUAACCCAAAGAAAAAGCACCGGCUAACUCUGUGCCAGCAGCCGCGGUAAUACAGAGGGUGCAAGCGUUAAUCGGAAUUACUGGGCGUAAAGCGUGCGUAGACGGUUGUCUAAGUCGGAUGUGAAAUCCCCGGGCUCAACCUGGGAAUUGCAUUCGAGACUGAACAGCUAGGGUGCGGAAGAGGGAAGCGGAAUUUCCGGUGUAGCGGUGAAAUGCGUAGAUAUCGGAAGGAACAUCAGUGGCGAAAGCGGCUUCCUGGUCCAGCACCGACGUUCAGGCACGAAAGCGUGGGGAGCAAACAGGAUUAGAUACCCUGGUAGUCCACGCCAUAAA
rnacentral:rRNA from 1 species